rnacentral:tRNA from 1 species
UCAAGUUUUGUGGUGUAGUAGCACCCCAGAUUGCAAACCUGGUGGCGCAGAGUAGUUUCUGCCAAAA